ACUUAUUUAAAGAUGUAUAAUGUGUUUAAAUUGAGUGUUUUAGUGUCCACUUGUAUGAUAACAUUUAAAAGAUAAACAAUUUGUUGAUAUUUUAUAAUGUUAGAUGUUUUUGUAUGCAAGUGAUGAAUAUUAAAUUUCUCCAAAUCUGAUGAAGAAACAAACUCAUCUACAUUUUGGAGGGCCAGAAGCAUGUUAUACAGCCCUGCAGUAUGAGGUGGAGAGAAAAGAACAGGGUCUUGAAUCCACGGGUGGGACGAAGUGGAGCGUCUUCCCUCACCGCACACAGUUCUGCAGCUUUCCAUUGAUUCACUGCCUAGAACCUGAACCCUGGGCCGGCAGGGUGCCGGGGGACUUAUAGAUCACCUUCAAAAAUAGCCUGUCCAGAGGGGAGGACAACGGGAUAAAGGGUGGAGAGAGAGAGUCUGGCAAGGAGAGAAUCCUCCCUCUCCAGGCAAGCCACCGAUAGCACCCUGUGUGUAUUUAUAGAUGAACAACAGCAAACCUGAACCUAGAUCAAUAUGCUCUGGGACGUGACAUGAUCUGCUCGCUGAAGGGAUGGAAACCUGGCUGAGAGUACAGGCCCCUGGGACGCAGAACAGGGAUAAACCUCAGGGCCCGUGAAAAAAGUGAAGAAAAAAAGAAAAAGUCAAGAAAGACGCCAGCCCAAGGCCAAUGAAGAUGAUAAAACUAUCAAAUCAUGCCUGACUGCAUAUAAUAAGCGAGAAGUGGAAUAUGAUCAGUCUUCAGAGAGCGGACGCGGCUGCAAGAUGGAGAAACUGCAAGUGUUAGCUCAUCCUACAGUGACCCACAAGAUACAUGUUGACAUCCCACUGCUGGUUAAAGCACCGACCAGCCAAUCACAGGGUGACACGGCUGCGGCUCCAAUGUUCUGCCUCACGGAGCGGGACGGGCCUGAGCCGCUGGGAAGCAGCAGUAUUGAUGGCUUCCCUCCAUGAAAUGUAAUGGAUAGUAGAGACUUGAAGACUUCACGCUCUCUGAGCGAAUGUGUUGUGUGUAGCCACAGAGAGGCAAUAUCCUGCUGGACACCCGGCUGACCCUGUUGAUGGCUGAAUGAAGGUGUUUUGCGAGGGGCUGAUAUGAGUCUGAAGGAUGACAGAAGCCUGAGGCUGUGGACCGCUUGAG
ensembl:lncRNA